rnacentral:rRNA from 1 species
AUGUGCGGGUGUGCGGAGGCGCUUGUGAGGGCGGUGGUGGCCUUCUUCGACGCCUUCCUCGUCGACGGCUUCCUCUUCUGGUUCCGCCGCCGCCGCCCCGGCCCCGACAGCCCCGCCUCCGCCCACUGGGUAAGCCAACCCUACCUCUCCCUCUCCCUCGCGUCCGGCUCCUCUGUUCGUUCGUUCUUCGAUCCCAGGCGGUGA